CCUACGGGUGGCAGCAGUGAGGAAUAUUGGUCAAUGGCCGGAAGGCUGAACCAGCCAUGCCGCGUGAAGGUCAGUGCCCUAUGGGCGUUAAACUUCUUUUGUGCGGGAGCAAUAAUGGUCACGUGUGGCCAGACGAGAGUACCGUACGAAUAAGCAUCGGCUAACUCCGUGCCAGCAGCCGCGGUAAUACGGGGGAUGCAAGCGUUAUCCGGAUUUAUUGGGUUUAAAGGGUGCGUAGGCUGUGAGGUAAGUCAGCGGUGAAAUGCCCCCGCUCAACGGGGUGAAGUGCCAUUGAUACUGCCUUGCUGGAAUGCGGAUGCCGUGGGAGGAAUGUGUGGUGUAGCGGUGAAAUGCGUAGAUAUAUGGAAGAACACCAGUGGCGAAAGCGGCUCUCUGGUCUGUAACUGACGCUGAGGUUCGAAAGCGUGGGUAGCAAACAGGAUUAGAUACCCGAGUAGUC
rnacentral:rRNA from 1 species